rnacentral:rRNA from 1 species
UACGGGGGGGGCAAGCGUUGUUCGGAAUUACUGGGCGUAAAGGGCUCGUAGGUGGCCAACUAAGUCAGACGUGAAAUCCCUCAGCUUAACUGGGGAACUGCGUCUGAUACUGGAUGGCUUGAGUUUGGGAGAGGCAGGCGGAAUUCCGGGUGUAGCGGUGGAAUGCGUAGAGAUCCGGAAGAACACCGGUGGCGAAGGCGGCCUGCUGGGCAGUAGCUGACACUGAGGCGCGACAGCGUGGGGAGCAAACAGG